CACGUAGGGGGCAAGCGUUGUCCGGAUUUAUUGGGCGUAAAGAGCUCGUAGGCGGCUCAGUAAGUCGGGUGUGAAACCUCCAGGCUCAACCUGGAGACGCCACCUGAUACUGCUGUGGCUGGAGUCCGGUAGGGGAGCGUGGAAUUCCUGGUGUAGCGGUGAAAUGCGCAGAUAUCAGGAAGAACACCCGUGGCGAAGGCGGCUCUCUGGGACGGUACUGACGCUGAGACGCGAAAGCGUGGGGAGCGAACAGG
rnacentral:rRNA from 1 species